UGCAAAUCAGAACAAAUGGGACCCUGGUGAGAAUGUUCACCUCCCAGCUCCUCUGUGCCAGGGCGGUGGAUAACAACAGGAUGUGGGUUUGAAACACGUGUAAGCUUCUUCAAGCUGCCUCUUUCAGUUUCAUUCUUUUUUUUUUUUUUUUUUAAGGCACUAGAAAAUAUAAUUCACCUAUUUAAAGCAAACAUUUUUUUCCCUUGCUACCUAUAUGUGUUGUGUCAUAGUUUUAUCCCAUAUCAGGACCUGAUUCCAUUCCCAUUUCUACAAGCCACUCAGGUAACAAUCUGUAUGUUAUGCAAAUAAAAACAUGGCAUGUUUACAGCACAGGCAGAUUAUGAUGUACACUCAAGAAGUUUCACUUUCUGUAAAUGUGGGACUAGAUUGUAUUCAUCAUCUGCUAAGGGAGUUCUACUGCUAUACCUCUGGUCUUGGUUGAUGGUUUUAAUAAACAGGACCAGAAGAUGUCCAAAGCCACAAGCAUAUGGUUGUAAAAAUUGAAGACAUUUAACUCCGAAUUAAUUUCUUUUAAAAGAAGUUGUGAGAUUUGAGCAAGCCAUACAUUAGGAUCAAGUACACACAUCCGUAUACACUUUUAUCAGACUGGAAAAAAUCAGAGACUGGAGAAAAUGAGAAGGUAUUGACUCCAUUCUUUGUAUUUUCUGUUGUGAUUCCAGUCCUCACCUUCCCUUCAGUCUCCCCUUUGCUCCUCAUCUCCAUCCAUUCUUUCUUUUCUGUUAUUAGCUGUCUUUCCUGUCCCAUCUGUCUUUCCAUUUCUUUUUACCUUGCAUUCUCCUUUUCCCAUCACCCUUAGGAUACCGAGCACAUGGUAGCCACUUCUGGUCCUAUUAUCUUGAAAAUUCGAAGUCUCUUUUCUGGUUUUUCUGUCUAAUGAAGACUUGGUUGGCUUGUGGGCUCUGUAAUUAUGCUCACUGAACAAAUACCUUGAAAGGGAAACAAUUCCAAGUCAUGUAUCAAAGAUUCAAUCUGACAUGUAUUUACUAAAUGCCUGACAUGCCUAUGCAUUUUGUUUCUUCAUUGUAACAAGAGAGAAUGAAUUCAUAUUCUGUGCUGGCACUGUGCUCUGUGUGGAAAAUGCAAAAUGAAAUAAAUCACAAAAUUCUUAACUUCAAGAAUUUAUAGGGUAAUGGAGGAGAAAAGAGUAUAAAAAGAUUAGUUUCAGGGUGACAGGAGAGUGAUCUAAUAACACAAAAUUGUAACUUUAAAAAGACAAUGCAAACCAGUUACCUCUUGCUUAAUGGAGUAGAUGGGCUACAGGAAAUUUGGCAAUAAGACAAGUUUAUAUAAAUUGAAAUAUUUUCCUACAACUCCUCUAUAGAAUUGGAAAUGUUUUCCCGCAGAAAAUCUCGAUGCAAAACUCGAGAUCACAGUAAAUACUAUAUUGUGCCUAUAUCUGGCCUCCUGAAAAAGGCCAUCGCCGUUUUCAUUUGCAGUCUCCAUUCUGCCACUCGCUCUUUCUACUUGUACUUUUCUGUCUCUGAGAUUGUCACUCUAUUGGGACCAGAAGUAUUCCUUUCUUUCUUUCUGGAAUCUCCUCUCUUUUCACAUUAAGCCCUGGAGCUCAGUUUCCCUUCUUCCUUUCCAUUGAGAGCUUUAUUGCAGCUACAAGAGUCAAACAAAUGUAUUCCAGCCUAGACAGGCUCUGUGGUUUUGGAUGUGUAAGAUGAGUGACUUCCUAGCUUCAUCCUUCUAGCUCAAGAAUUGACUUGGGGAGAGGAACGCCAAUAUCCAUUCAUUUAAUAAAUAUGUAUUGACUGCCUACUCUGUAGUCAGAACGCAGUCUCUAACCUCAAGAGCUUACCAUGCAGCAUAGGAAGACAAGCAUUAAAUACUUAUUUGCUAAUAACUGUGACAAGGACUACAGGGGGCAAGUAGAAGUUUCUUUAAACAGGUGUACGGGGAACAGAGUUUGUCUGGAAAACGUAAAAAGAUCAGGAAAGGCUUCCCUGAGGAGGUGAUAUUUAAACAGAGAUCUGAAGGCUAAGUAGAAGAUUGCUCCAGGCAAAGGGAAGAAUAAAGGUUUGUGGGAGGGAGGCAGGAAGAAACACAGUAGUUUUGAGGAACUGAGAGGUCAGUGGGGCCAGAGGAAAGAGAGCAAAAGGCAGAGUGAAACAGGGAGGAAUAGGAUUAAGGUCACAGGCUCUGGAAUCAAAUUUCCUGCGUUAGAAUCCUGGCCUCCCAGAUCUAAUCCUUUUGGUUCUAAAUAACAGAGAGCCUGCCUAGUUGCGGUUAAUAUAUCAAGAACAAUAGGCAGUCCAGGGUUAGUGCAAGACUUCUCUGAGUUCAGCACAGGCGUCCUUAGCUGAAGGCUUUGCUGGAAGUGGCCCUGGGGCAGGAUGGUCCCUUGGAGGCAAGAGGGAGGGGAAAGGUGCGCAAUGCCAGACUCUUUUGCCAGAAAAGUUAGAAGCUUCUCAGAAAUCCUCCAGUGGACUUCUGCCUCCGUGUCAUGGGCCUGAGCACAACCCAGAUAGUAAGGACAGCAGGGAAAGUGAGAAUGAAGAUUCACCAGCUGGGAUCAGGGAGGCGGUGCUGUGAGGAAGGAUUGGGGAUGUGUGUUGGUUCCCUCAGGAAACAGCGCCUGGCAUAAGCGCUCUCUACCUUUACCAUCUUCUGGCAAGUAAGUCGCCUUCUCCAGUUUCUCAUCUGAAAAAUGGGGACCACAAGAAUCUCCACCUGGAGGGGUUGUUCUGGGGUUAAUCAAAGGAAUGUCUGUACUCCAACCAGCCUGAGCUCUGAUGAUCUGCUUGACAGAUAUGCAGCAAUCGGGUCCUGAGGAGCUUCGUAAGCCGUGUUGAUAAUUCUGGGCUGAUCUUUAGCACCACGAGAAGAUAUGAGAAGAUUUUAAGCAGGGAGAUGGCAUGAACAUGUUUGUGUUCUCAAAAGAGCCUUCAGUUUCUCUUCUAACAGAUAUAACCCAUCAUGGGACAUUGCCAAUUGUCAGCCCAAUGCUUGGCUUACCUGUCUGCUCUUCCAUAACUUUUCAUACUUUUUGUGGCCAUCAAAGUUGUUUUAAGAUGUGUGAAAUUAGAAUCAACUGCAGGUGUUUGACUUUGUUGUUGUUGUUAAACUUUUUAACCCUGGGGCAAUUUAAUGCCAGAAUAUCAACAGACUUUUAUCAGGAUUUCCAAUCUAUUUGGCUGAUAGUGCACCUACAGGAUAGGAAACAAAUAUUGUAAAGAUUUUACUUUGCUUACUUGAACUACUGCCCUACUCUUAAGGACCACAGCAAGCUUACAUGAUUUAAAAAAAAAAAAAAAAAGAGCUCCAGCAUUCCUUUCACACUCCCACUCGCCCCCGAGGUUCUUCCACUUCCUUCCUAUGGCUUUUUUUAGAACCGAGUGUGUUUUUCUCACGUCCGGCAACAAAGGAUGUUUUGUGCCGCUACUGAGGUUUGUGUGUGUGACUGACUUUAGAACUCUUUCUAGAAAGUGCUAUUACUAUUUGCAUAGAUUAAGUAGAACUUUAUCUUGAGCAAAAGGCUCAAAUGGCUAUUUUUGUUUUUGUAUGUGGAUUUGCCAUUAUUUAACCUCAAAUAAGUUUACCGUCUGUGUUUUUAAAUAACCUUAAGAGGACCUAUCAAAAUUCCUUCAGAAGACCCACAUAAGUGGGACUAAAACAAAAAAGUUUAGAUGAUUCUUUCAGCAUAUUGCAUUUAUUAUUAUUGCCUUGUUAAAGAAUUGGAAGGUCCCUGGCGAUUCAGCCAGUUAAGGAUCUGGCAGUGUCCUUGCCGUGGCGCAGGUUCCAUCCCUUCCUCCAGAAUUUCCACAUGCCAUAGGUAUGGCCAAAGGGGGAAAAAAAGAGUUUAUCAUCUCUUCCUUAAAUAUAUUUGGAAGUGCCACAGUCGGGGGGAAGGAUGUGUUUAAGGGAAGGUUGGUGGCUCUCACUUUUUCACAGAGAAAUAUGCUUCUAACAGUCACAGUGUCCCAUGCUUGAGCUAUAAGAUGCCUUGACAUUAGGUGUUUUCAUCUCAUUGCAAUUCUCUGAGCAAUGAGACAAGGUGAAUUAGACAAAACUCAGAUGGCUGAGAAUUGUAGCAUAAACCCUGUGAGAGAAUUUACCUUUCCAUUGUCAGACAAUAUAAAUCAUUUGAAACAUCUGCUGGAACAUCUUUACCUUUUCUUGAGGAGAAAUGGGGUUUACAUCCCAGGUUUUAUUUCUCAACCAAGAGAAAGAUAGCAAAUGAGCCUCUGAAGAUUUUAGGCACAUUUUGGUGGCCGGUCUCUGUUUGCAUGCUGCCAGCAGACAUCCCAGCGAUCGAUUUUAUAAAGAGGCAGCUCUCUAUUUAGUACAGAAAUAACAACCUUAGCUGCUUCAUAAACAAGAUCAUAUUGGAAAUAAGCAUCUGCUUUUAGUAAAUGACAAACCCCAGGCAUAGUCUAGAUAGGAAGAUUUCCAAUUCUUAUGGAUUUUGUGAUUUCUCUUCUGUUGGAGUUAAGGAAGGGGAGCUUGGAUUCCAAGAUCAAUUUAAUGUCUAAAUUCCUUGGCAUUCGUCGUGUUAGAUCAGCACAUCUCGGGUGGCUUUCAAUAGUUAUUUUAGCAUUGAUUUACCUCUGGUAGGGCAAAUCAAAGGAAGAUUGAGGAAAUCAAAGUCAGUUUUCCUUGGCGUUUUCUCAGCAAUAAAGGAAAGCUGUGGUGUUGAUGGGCUGUUUUUUUUUUUUUUUUUUUUUUCCUUCUCAUCUUUGCCUUCGAUGCAAAAUCACUCUUUGUAUGAGUUUCUUUCCCAUGUUGAACAUCUAUUAUAGGCAGAGCCUUGGGUUUUUCUGUGGUUGGGAGAUUAUGCAAAAUAAUUCGAAGGCACGCCAGUAGACUUUGAGGAACUAAGUACUCAUUUGAAGAGACAAGAGAGUAGAGUGGGAGUUUUGAGAGUGGGCGUGUGGGUUUGUAAGAACCCAGGCUUUCGUGUCACACCUGGGCUUGUCACACCUAUGCCUUCUACCUGGGCAACCUUGUGCAGAGGACUUCCUGUAGUUCUUCACCUGGAAAAUGGCAAUAACGAAGGUGCUUGCCUUGAGGUUGCUGUGAAAAGGGAAGCAAGGUACACUUGACUAAGAACAUGAAAACCAGACUGCUUGUGUUUAAAUCUCAGCUUCCCUGUUUGUAGCUGAUAGGGCCUUGGGCAAAUCUCAUACCCCUGGUCUGUGCCUUGGCUGCCUCAGCUGAAGAUGGAGAUGGUGCUAAUACCCACCUCAUAGGACUGCUGAGCAUCUUAAAGGAACGAGUCAAGGUAAAGUGCUGAGAACAGGGCCCUAAGGGUUUGCUCUCAUCUUUGUGGGGAUGAGACAUAAUACACGUGAAAUGCUUGAUAUAUAUGUAGGCGGUAACUAUUAACUAGUACAUUAUUUAAAGAACUCAAUGUGUAGUAGUACAUUUUCAAUAAAUUUUGGUUGACUUCAUUCAUCAUCCAUUGCGCGUGCAUGCGUGCGCGUGUGUGUUUGUAUUGAGAGAGAAGCAUAUAUUCCCCACCAACACCAAAAACAUAAUUUUAUGGGUCAAAGUACAAACAAUGGAAUGGAAAUUAGCCAGGCCAUACAUCCAGGAGACUUCUUGCUAUACUACCUGGUGCUUAAAUGGUUUGUUUUGGCCUCAUUUGUAGGCCUAUUUUUUUCCACUGAUGCUUCUCUGACAUUUUCAACUGAGAAGGGAACCUGUAAUGCCUCAUAAAUCUGAGGGAUAAUCGCUACUGAUUGUUCCUAUCACCAUAGAAAGUUAAAGUAUACUUGGCUUUUGGACUUGACUAGAAAUUUAAUAAUAAUAAUAAUAAUAAA
rnacentral:lncRNA from 1 species